rnacentral:rRNA from 1 species
GACGAACGCUGGCGGCGUGCUUAACACAUGCAAGUCGAACGAUGAACCGGUUUCGGCCGGGGAUUAGUGGCGAACGGGUGAGUAACACGUGGGCAAUCUGCCCUGCACUCUGGGAUAAGCCCGGGAAACUGGGUCUAAUACCGGAUACGACACUCCGAGGCAUCUUGGGGUGUGGAAAGUUCCGGCGGUGCAGGAUGAGCCCGCGGCCUAUCAGCUUGUUGGUGGGGUAAUGGCCUACCAAGGCGACGACGGGUAGCCGGCCUGAGAGGGUGACCGGCCACUCUGGGACUGAGACACGCCCCGGACUCCUACGGUAGGCAGCAGUGGGGAAUAUUGCACAAUGGGCGAAAGCCUGAUGCAGCGACGCCGCGUGAGGGAUGACGGCCUUCGGGUUGUAAACCUCUUUCAGCAGGGAAGAAGCGAAAGUGACGGUACCUGCAGAAGAAGCACCGGCUAACUACGUG